rnacentral:rRNA from 1 species
UACGUAGGGUGCGAGCGUUAAUCGGAAUUACUGGGCGUAAAGCGUGCGCAGGCGGUUUGUUAAGAUAGGCGUGAAAUCCCCGGCGUCACCUACGGACGUAGCGUUUAUUGACUGGCGAGGCGUAGAGUAUGGCGAGAGGGGGGUGGGGAAUUACCUACCGUGUAGCAGUGAAAUAGCGUAGAGAUGUGGAGGAACACCGAU